AUUGAACGCUAGCGGGAUGCUUUACACAUGCCAGUCGAACGAGUGGCGGACGGGUGAGUAAUUUAUCGGCACGUGCCCAGUUGCGGGGCAUACCUACUCGAAUGAGGGCUAAUACCGCCUACUAUUGGAGCGGCCGAAACCGGAUUAGCUUGUUUGUGGGGUAAGGGCUCACCAAGGCAACGAUCCUUAGCUGGUGUGAGAGGACGACCAGCCGCACUGGAACUGAAAGAAGGCCCAGAAUCCUACGGAAGGCAGCAGUGGGGGAUUUUGGACAAUGGGGAAAACCCUGGUCCAGCCAUCCCGCGUGUAUGAUGAAGGCCUUCGGGUUAUAGAGGACUUUAGGCAGGGAGGCGGUAUCUGCAGGAUAAACACCGGCUAACUACGUGCCAGCAGCCGCGGUAAUUC
rnacentral:rRNA from 1 species